UGGGGAAUAUUGCGCAAUGGGGGCAACCCUGACGCAGCCAUGCCGCGUGAAUGAAGAAGGCCUUCGGGUUGUAAAGUUCUUUCGGUAGCGAGGAAGGCAUUUAGUUUAAUAGACUAGGUGAUUGACGUUAACUACAGAAGAAGCACCGGCUAACUCCGUGCCAGCAGCCGCGGUAAUACGGAGGGUGCGAGCGUUAAUCGGAAUAACUGGGCGUAAAGGGCACGCAGGCGGUGACUUAAGUGAGGUGUGAAAGCCCCGGGCUUAACCUGGGAAUUGCAUUUCAUACUGGGUCGCUAGAGUACUUUAGGGAGGGGUAGAAUUCCACGUGUAGCGGUGAAAUGCGUAGAGAUGUGGAGGAAUACCGAAGGCGAAGGCAGCCCCUUGGGAAUGUACUGACGCUCAUGUGCGAAAGCGUGGGGAGCAAACAGGAUUAGAUACCCUGGUA
rnacentral:rRNA from 1 species